GGGCCCGCACAAGCGGUGGAUUAUGUGGUUUAAUUCGAAGCAACGCGCAGAACCUUACCAAGGCUUGAAAUCCUUCGAAUCCCGAGUAAUUUUGGGAGUGCCCGCAAGGGAAUGAAGUGACAGGUGCUGCAUGGCUGUCGUCAGCUCGUGUUGUGAAAUGUUGGGUUAAGUCUCGCAACGAGCGCAACCCCUAUCUUUAGUUGCCAGCAUUAAGUUGGGCACUCUAGAGAGACUGCCCGGGUUAACCGGGAGGAAGGUGGGGAUGACGUCAAGUCCUCAUGGCCCUUAUGCCUUGGGCUACACACGUAAUACAAUGGUUGGUACAGAGGGAAGCGAUCACGCGAGUGUUAGCAAAUCUCAAAAAGCCAAUCUCAGUCCGGAUUGGAGUCUGCAACUCGACUCCAUGAAGUUGGAAUCGCUAGUAAUCGUGGAUC
rnacentral:rRNA from 1 species